rnacentral:rRNA from 1 species
UUAAAUUGAAGAGUUUGAUCAUGGCUCAGAUUGAACGCUGGCGGCAGGCCUAACACAUGCAAGUCGAGCGGAAACGAGUUAACUGAACCUUCGGGGG